GAAACCAAACCAUUCCAAAUCUUCAAAAGUCUCUGUUUUUUUUUCUUCCUCAAAAGCUCCAGUGUAAGCAAAUCACAAAUCAUCAUUAUUCAAAGAAGAAAACUCUCGAAAUGUGGAAGACUGUUACUACGGAGGGGAGAAGAAAAAGUUGCAGACUUUGGAAUUUUGUUCCAAAUGCUCUCUGAUUUGUGGAAGCUGUUUCGAAAAGCCGGAGACUUUUAGAGAAUAGUUUCAUGAUCAACUCAAAUCAUCUCAAACGAUCAACUCUCUCUGAUUUGUUCCAGUCGCCGGAAAAAAGUGUGGAAGUUGUUUCACAAAGACGGAGACUUAUUAGAUCAUCUCAAACGAUCAAUCGCCGGAUAAAAAAUGUGGAAGUCGUUUCAAAACGGAGGAGACUUAUGGAAUGAUCAUGAUCAACUUAACGAUCUCAAAUAGUGACAAAUUUAGUCAUUCAAUAUCGUUGUAAAAGAACAUCAAAUACCAAUAUGGUAAAAUUAAGGGGAAGCACAAUUGGCAAAGUCAGCUCUGGAUUUGGGGUUUGCUCGUCUCUGGUCUCGGUUCUCAGAAAAAAGAAAGAACGAGAAAUAUCAGAAGGAAAGAAUAGAAGGAAAUGGAAAUGAUAGAAGGAAAUGGAGUCUGCUCGGGUCUCAGGAAAAAGAUUGAGAUGAUAGACACUGCAACUAACUUCGGCGACAAAAAUAGGAUACUCUGUUACUCCUUAUUAUAUUUUGGUAACCAACCAAUGAAGAAAUUUUUUCUAAUCAAUCUCUAUUUUUAUGGACAGUUGAUAUUAAUUCUAAAAGAAAUUUUAAAAGGCA